UACGAAGGGGGCUAGCGUUGCUCGGAAUCACUGGGCGUAAAGGGUGCGUAGGCGGCGGGGCAAGUCUGAUGUGAAAUCCCCGGGGGCUCAACCCCGGAACUGCAUUGGAUACUGCCUUGCUAGAGUACUGGAGAGGAGACUGGAAUUUUACGGUGUAGCAGUGAAAUGCGUAGAGAUCGUAAGGAAGACCAAUGGCGAAGGCAAGUCUCUGGACAGUGACUGACGCUGAGGCACGGAAGGCCAGGGGGGAGCAAAACGGGG
rnacentral:rRNA from 1 species